UCCCAGACUCCUACGGGAGGCAGCAGUGGGGAAUAUUGCACAAUGGGGGAAACCCUGAUGCAGCGACGCCGCGUGAGUGAAGAAGUAUUUCGGUAUGUAAAGCUCUAUCAGCAGGGAAGAAAAUGACGGUACCUGACUAAGAAGCCCCGGCUAACUACGUGCCAGCAGCCGCGGUAAUACGUAGGGGGCAAGCGUUAUCCGGAUUUACUGGGUGUAAAGGGAGCGUAGACGGCAGAGCAAGUCUGAAGUGAAAGCCCGCGGCCCAACUGCGGGACUGCUUUGGAAACUGCCCGGCUAGAGUGCUGGAGAGGCAGGCGGAAUUCCUAGUGUAGCGGUGAAAUGCGUAGAUAUUAGGAGGAACACCAGUGGCGAAGGCGGCCUGCUGGACGAUGACUGACGUUGAGGCUCGAAAGCGUGGGGAGCAAACAGGAUUAGAUACCCGUGUACCC
rnacentral:rRNA from 1 species